AGGCACGGGGCAAUCAAAGAGCAGAUGCCGAGGCUAAAAGAGCAGCAAAAAGUGCUGCGCCACCCCACAUUCUGCAUAUAAGCCUACCACCCCCGGGCAUAGGACAGAUACCUCCUCUGCCAGACUACUCCAGCACAGAUAAAGCCUGGGCUACAAAACAGCUAAAUGUGCAAAAAGACGAAGAACGCCGCCUGAUAGUGCCAGAGACUUUGGGACGUCACCUGUUAACGCACCUACACCAGACCACACAUUUAAAAAAAAAAAAAUGCUACAACUAUUAAACACCGCCCAGCUUAGGUUCAUGUCACAGAGACGAGUGGCGAGCGACAUCGUCCGGGACUGCCAAGCCUGUCAAGUCAUACAGCCGGGGAGGGCCAAAGGGACCCACGCAGGUGGAUGGAAUAUCAACCUGGAUACACCACUCCCACGUGAGGUCGGCUAGCAAGAGCGACCAAGAGCAGUGCCAGAGCCAGUGGAAGGCAACGGUGGAUCCAGAGAACCCCCUAAAGACCAGGCUGACCCGAGUGACACCAGCAUAGAUGAACUUAGUGACUCCAGUCCUCUUUGGAGUACUGGUCAUACUAGUUGGAGUCGGACUUGGGACUGUAGCACCUAGAGGUUGGACUCCGUCACAGAGAUGCAUGCUAGGCUUGUUUUAUAUCUUUUAUGUGGGUGCUUUGGGGUUACUUUGCUUGUGGGCAGGAGUGUGGCAGCCGUGAUAAAUAGCAAUCCCCACCAACCUCAUAACCUCACAUGAGAGAUUGCCAAUCAGGAGACUCAUAAAGUCUAAAAUGUGACUUCAGGGGUAGGCCCCAUAAACGGAUGAUGGCCAGACCUUAUGUUUAACCUAAAAAAAAUAAGCCCCAUCAGCGUGAGUGAGCCCCCAGGGGCGCCCGGCCCUCGGCCAAGUGGGAUUGUGUCACCACAGGCAGUAGGGCCCAACCAGGUGCUGCACCCACGGCCGGCCACGGUGCACCCCAAACCAGUGAUAAAGUUAGGGACAAACUCACUCACCCUAGGGAGCCCCAUAAGCACGGUGCCUAAAGUAAAACUUAGAGAUCCUCUGUAAAAGAUGUUGACAGCUGCAUACAAAGCAGUAAAAAUGGCCGUCAAUUUCAACCUCUCCACAGAAGCCUCCCCUAGGUCAUGUCAAUGGGACCGUAAAGGCCCUGGUCUCACUUUUCAGUCAGUUCUUGGCAAGGGGACCUGCCUGGGAACAGUGCCACCCAGCCAUGCACAGCUCUGUGCCGGGGGUAACAGUAAUAAAUCAAUCAAAAAAAAAAAAAUGGGUCAUUCCCGGGCCAAGUGGAUGGUGGAUUUGCUCCAAAACCAGUUUAACCCCUUGCCUUAGCCUAUCAGUUUUUAAUAAAUCUAAAAAUACUGUGUUAUGGUGUUAGUGUUCCCUAAAAUAAUAUACCAUACAGUAGAGACCAUAUACACCAGCAGAGCAGGCCAAGGGGUCACUAACCUAAUUUUCCAAAAAAAAAAAAAAACCCUUGCAGCCAUUACCCUAGCCACACUUUUUGGCUUGGGGGCAAUAGGAGCAGGGACUGGUAUCUCCUCCCUAGCGAUGCAACAGAGAGGGUUCAGCACCUUGAGAGCAGCCAUUGAU